ensembl:lincRNA
GCGAGCUGGCCAGACACUCCGUCUUUCGCACAACAGGUGCAUUCAUCCAUCCGCCGACGGUUGGGGAGGUCUUGCUAGCUGGUGGGCUUGGCUCUUUACCCGUUGUCCCCGAGUAGCCCUCAAGCCUGGAUGUAGGUGAGCGUGAGGAUGCUACUAGUGGGUAGAAGGAUGACAGCAGGGACGGGGACGACCCCCCUCCCAUCACUUCCUAAGGUGAUGCACUUGCUCCUACCCCCCAAGCAGCCUCAGUCCCGGCAGCCCCCUCCCCCCGGCCUGGCCUGCCAGCUCAGGGUGAGCCCGGUCGGAUUGUCACUCGACGCCCACUAGUGGCUGAGGAGGCUCCAGUGCGCAGGCUCCGGGCACCGGAUAAAAGCGGAGCUGGCGAGUCCGGCGCCGUCUCGAUGGAGGAGCGAGAAACGCAAGAGGUCGGGGGGAGAAGCCGCAGAAAAAAUUGCAGCCAUCGUCAGCGCCGCCUCCCUGCCACCGUGUAUGGGGUAAAAGCUGCCGUUGCCGCUGCCGGUGCAGUUGCUGCCGCCGCCUCCUAUACUUCUUAGCACCGGGGAAGGAUUCCCCGCCGCGGGACAGUGUGCUGGGCGGGGAGCGGGAGUUCGUUUGUGUGGCGGUGAUUAAACGAGGGAGGGACAGAGCUGGUUUCUCGAACCGAAAAGGGGAGGCCAAGGAAUAAAACAGGGUUCUCCACUAAAAUCACACAGCGAUUACGGAUCUGGCUUUGGGGGCCUUUCCCCGGAAUGGCGGUUUCCGUCUUCUUGGCCCGCAGCACGACCUUGGGUGCUCCGUAAGAGGAGUGGGGAGAGGCAGAGGCGGUGUCGGCAGCCAAUCGGCGUCUGGUGAUUUCUGUCGGGCGCGUAGGGAUUGGCUGACGAUGACCUCAUGCUGCAGCAGCGGGUGGGGCCAGAGUCGUCGGGGGUGGCUGUUGCAAAGGCAGAGAGUGAGAAGUGAUGACGGUGAUCGUUGUCGCCGCGUCUUCUGUGGAACCCAAGCAGUGCCGAAGGAAGUCGCAAGGCUCUUCCCCGACCUUUUGCUCCUCUCCCUGCGCGAGGUGAGGGCCCUGGCUCGGCCUCUGCGAGACUUUGGGGCGCUGGUGCGGCCGUGGAGGCGCAAUUUCUCCUGUGACUUUUGUAACUGCGUCAGGGCAAGAUGGCGCUGGGUCUCCUUGGGGCGCGGGGGGAGAGGCACGUCCACCGCCGCCGCAGCGCAUGUGACCGGCUGCAUUCCUGUGGGGUUUGGCGGGGACCCAGGCAGGGCGGGGGAGGGGACCGGGUUUGGGCGGAGGAGAUGGUGGUGCGGUCGGCGUUGGCUGCCCGAAGAGGAAGAGAUGACUGUUUGAAAGCUCUUCCCCUCCCCCACUCCCCGCAGCAGAACAGCUGCNNNNNNNNNCCCUGAAAGGACACUCCUUUCGGGGUGUGCCAGCCACUGGUGGAGGAGAAGGUUUGACGCCUUCUUAUAUCUGCCUUUCUCCUUGCAAAGUAUGCUUACGUAAGGUGGCAGUUCCCUCCUGUAAGCCAACUAGGAGGCCCUGAGUGUCACUGGUAUGGGUAACAAGGACAGGUUAGGCUCUGAAGGCACCACAGGUAGGAGUGUUGAUUAUUUCAGACAAAACAUAAAGUUUGGGGGGUCUGAAUAGAAGACUACAGCAUUCUCAGAGUUUGAAAGCAAGUGAAUAACACCCAGGAACACUUAGGGUUUCUAGGCAGACAGCGAUUAAGGACUGCAUCACAGUCUGAACGGAAGGGCCCUGUCAAACCUUCUCCUUAGAUUCUUUGUGUUCAUUACCCUCCCUGUCUGUACAUCCCGUGAGAGAGUUUAAGUAAUCUUACUGGUGAGGGUUGCCUUUUCAAAUAUAAGUAUUCUUAGUAAUUUUAGUAUUUUGUUCUGUAUGAAACUGAAAGGUCAUUUUCUAUACUUCACGUUGCAUUUUGUCGUCCUUUUAAAAAUAAAAAAUGGAAUUACAAAUGC